ACCGCUGCUGCCUCCUUUUAAGUUUGGUAUUCCCUCCCCCACCCAGGAGAUUUGCUAUCCCAGCAACUUGAAGUGCUUCUGUGAUGAGCUGGAGUCCUUACGGAAGGAGAAAGAGGAACACGAGGAAAUCCUCUCUGGCCUCAUCAGUCGCCUAACCAAGCUGAGGCUACAAGGGAAGAACUGUACAGAUCAAGAGCCCCGGUGCCUGCGCUGCGAGUGCCACCCAGAGCGGCCGGUGUCCAUUUUCCUACGUAAACUUCUGGAGCUGCUCCAGUGGAGUUGCAAGAAGCAGGUCACCAUGCCCUGCACAGCAAAGGAAAGGGGAAAGUGUUGGCUGCUGAAAUGACCCACGCACCCCCUGCAACCUAUGCUGUGGAGGAAAGCUGGAGUGUCUCGCUCAGGACUGGCACUGGAGCUGCGCCUGGAAGAAGCUGCACCCAGGGGUUCAACUAAAUGAAAGCAGGAAGAAGAGCACCCUCGCACGACCACUGGCUUAAUGGAUAGGACUGUUGUGUUUCUGAUGCACACUCAUCCACCUUGGAUUGGCCUCUUCAGUCCCCAGAAGAGACGCAAUUCAAAAACAUCAACAUCAGUCAAAGGGUCACUGCAAUUCCAUCACCUUACAGUUGCUGGACGGUUGACAUAUACAGUUCAACGGUGAAAGAAGACCCAGCACAGUCAAAGAAGAUGAAAAUGAACACAUUAUCAGUGCCAGCUGCUUUCUCACUAUUUCCCUGUGGCCUGGAUUUGAUACCUUUCUUUUGUUUGUGCUGCUGUCCUCUAUUGCACAGUGGAUAAUGGAACAUUGUCUUGUCUUGCACAUUGAAGGUGCUAUGUCAACACAUCACAGUGGAGCAGAAUAAAAAUAAUGAA